GACGAACGCUGGCGGCGUGCUUAACACAUGCAAGUCGAACGGAAAGGCCUGCUUUCCCUUGUGGAUUGCGGGUACUCGAGUGGCGAACGGGUGAGUAACACGUGAGUGAUCUGCCCCCAACUUGGGUAUAAGCCUGGGAAACUGGGUCUAAUUCCCGAUAGGACUGCAGGGUGGUGCCUGUGGUGGAAAACGAUUUUCUAGUGGUUGGGGAUGAGCUCGCGGCCUAUCAGCUUGUUGGUGGGGUAAUGGCCUACCAAGGCGGCGACGGGUAGCCGGCCUGAGAGGGUGGACGGCCACAUUGGGACUGAGAUACGGCCCAGACUCCUACGGGAGGCAGCAGUGGGGAAUAUUGCACAAGGGGCGGAAGCCUGAUGCAGCGACGCCGCGUGGGGGAUGACGGCCUUCGGGUUGUAAACUCCUUUCGACCGCGAGGAAGCCGCCUGGUUGGAAGGGUGGUGACGGUAGUGGUAGAAGAAGCACCGGCUAACUACGUG
rnacentral:rRNA from 1 species